rnacentral:rRNA from 1 species
UGUGCCGCAGCUAACGCAUUAAGCGCCCCGCCUGGGGAGUACGGCCGCAAGGCUAAAACUCAAAGGAAUUGACGGGGGCCCGCACAAGCGGCGGAGCAUGUGGAUUAAUUCGAUGCAACGCGAAGAACCUUACCUGGGCUUGACAUACACCAGAUCGCUGCAGAGAUGUAGCUUCCCUUGUGGCUGGUGUACAGGUGGUGCAUGGUUGUCGUCAGCUCGUGUCGUGAGAUGUUGGGUUAAGUCCCGCAACGAGCGCAACCCUUGUCUUAUGUUGCCAUCACGUGAUGGUGGGCACUCAUGAGAGACUGCCGGGGUUAACUCGGAGGAAGGUGGGGAUGACGUCAAAUCAUCAUGCCCCUUAUGUCCAGGGCUUCACACAUGCUACAAUGGUCGGUACAGCGAGUUGCCACACCGUGAGGUGGAGCUAAUCUCUCAAAGCCGGCCUCAGUUCGGAUUGGGGUCUGCAACUCGACCCCAUGGAGUCGGAGUCGCUAGUAAUCGCAGAUCAGCAACGCUGCGGUGA